rnacentral:rRNA from 1 species
GAUGAACGCUGGCGGCGUGCCUAAUACAUGCAAGUCGAGCGGUAAGGCCACUUCGGUGGUACACGAGCGGCGGACGGCUGAGUAACACGUAGGAACGUACCCCAAACUGAGGGAUAAGCACCGGAAACGGUGUCUAAUACCGCAUGUGCUCUUCGGAGUAAAGCUACGGCGGUUUGGGAACGGCCUGCGCAUGAUUAGCUAGUUGGUGAGGUAAUGGCCUACCAAGGCGACGAUCAUUAGCUGGUCUGAGAGGAUGAUCUGCCAGACUGGGACUGAGAACGGCCCAGACUCCUACGGGAGGCAGCAGUAGGGAAUUUUCCACAAUGGGGGCAACCCUGAUGGAGCAACGCCGCGUGCAGGAUGAAGGCUUUCGGGUCGUAAACUGCUUUUAUCUGUGAAGAUUAUGACGGUAGCAGAUGAAUAAGGAUCGGCUAACUCCGUGCCAGCCGCCGCCGUAA